AAAAAAACUCCAGAGGGGAAUCUAAUUGAGUCAAUCAUUGCCCCAGCAGGUGUAAGUGGAACUAGUGGCACUCAUAAUAAUGGUGAUUUGCUGUGUGACAUGCAGCUUGAUGACGCUGACAAUACUGAGCAUUUGGAGCUCUGGUUUGGGCUCAAAAGAAGACCUCAAGUAUGUGAAACAAGAGGACAUUGCAGACUUACUACCUGUUAUUCAACAGCGAAAACUUAUAGAUGCAUUCAAAAUAGAGACGGAGAUAAUCACCUUGGACCUCCAAGUCCUGCCGUCCCCUACCACUUCAGUCUGCAGCCACUCUACUACAUUUUCCAGUCCAUCAGGCACAUCUUUGCUCUCCUGCUCGG